rnacentral:rRNA from 1 species
UACGUAGGGGGCAAGCGUUGUCCGGAAUCAUUGGGCGUAAAGCGCGCGUAGGCGGCUCGAUCAGUCUGCUGUAAAAGUCAAAGGCUCAACCUUUGAAUGCCGGUGGAUACUGUCGGGCUCGAGUCCGGAAGAGGCGAGUGGAAUUCCUGGUGUAGCGGUGAAAUGCGCAGAUAUCAGGAGGAACACCAAUUGCGAAGGCAGCUCGCUGGGACGUUACUGACGCUGAGACGCGAAAGCGUGGGGAGCAAACAGG